ACAGAAAGUGCUUCCAGCUGAAUCCCAUUAGAUUCUGAUCCCAGUUAGUCCCUAUGAAUAAUAACUCACAGUGACAGAUUCAUCUCAUAUUUGUCCAUAUCAGAAAAUUUUUGGUUGAUUUAACUCUUGAUUUCUUAAUUGUGGGGUUUAGGCAAACACCACAAUGUUAGAGCAAAAAAAGAACAGGAUAAUAAAUUAUUCAUCAAGGAACAAUAAUGCUUUUUGUUUUUGAGACAGGGUAUCAAUAUGCAGUUUAGGCCUCACUUGAACUCAUUGUGUAGCCCAGGUUGGCCUUGAACUCAAGACAAUCCUGCCUCAGCCUCCUGAGUGCUGGGUACAGAUGUAAACCACCACAUCCAGUUGCAAUGUAAAAGGACAAAAGAGAAGGGGAAGGAGAAAGGGAAGGAGGAAGAGGAGGAGAAGACAGAGCACUGGAGGUAGAGGAAAAUCAGAAUAAGGAUUCUCUGUUUCUGUCACUGUUCAGUGACUCUCUCUCUGUCUCUCUUUUCGAGACGAUCUCACCAUGUAGCCCAGGCUGGCCUGAAACUAUCACUCCUCCUGUAUCAGUCUGCUGAAUGCUGGGAUUGCAGAAGCUCACCCCAUCCCGGCAGUGUUUGUCUUUGAAGUGGCCGUAACUGUGCCCAUCCCCACAUCCUGCACCGCCCAAGACUGCUGGAGGGACAAACGAGCUGGCAUUCGUGAAGUGAUUUCUGAAUGACUACGUGCUCUACAUUUGCCUUGUUACACAUUUAUUGGAUCUUGACUGCAUGCCAAGCUAUGGCUACGAGCAUGAAUGAAAUCCAGCCCCUGCCCUGAAGGAGAGCACAACCUGGUGAGACAGAGACAUAUAAAUAAAUCACGAUACAGCGUUAGCGCGUCUGUAA